rnacentral:rRNA from 1 species
GUCCUUUUGAUAUUAAUUUAAGGUCUAACCUGCCCACUGAUUUAUUAAAGGGCCGCAGUAUUUUGACUGUGCAAAGGUAGCAUAAUCAUUAGUUUUUUAAUUGAAAGCUUGUAUGAAUGGUUGGACGAAGUAAAUUCUGUCUCUGAAUAAUUUAUAUUAGAAUUUAAUUUUUAAGUUAAAAAGCUUAAAUUUUUAUAAAAGACGAGAAGACCCUAUAGAUCUUUAUAUAAAAUUAUUUAAUUUUAUUUUAGAGUAUUUAAUUUUUUAAUUAGUUUUAUAUUUUAUUGGGGUAAUAAAAAGAUUAAAAAAAUUCUUUUUUCUAUAAAGCAUUUAUUUAUGUAUAUUUGAUCCAUUUUUUUUUGAUUAUAAGAUUAAGUUACCUUAGGGAUAACAGCGUAAUUUUUUUUAAGAGUUCAUAUCGAUAAAAAAGUUUGCGACCUCGAUGUUGGAUUAAAAAUUAUCUUAGGUGUAGAAGUUUAGGAUUUUGGUCUGUUCGACCAUUAAAUUUUUACAUGAUCUGAGUUCAGACCGGCGUAAGCCAGGUCGGUUUCUAUCUUUAUAAAAUUAUAAUAUUUUAGUACGAAAGGACCAAAUAUUAAUUAUAUUUAUAUUUAUUUUUUGAAUAA